UACGUAGGGUGCGAGCGUUGUCCGGAAUUAUUGGGCGUAAAGAGCUCGUAGGCGGUGUGUCGCGUCGGCCGUGAUAACCUGCAGCUCAACUGUGGGCUUGCGGUCGAUACGGGCAUCACUGGAGUUCGGCAGGGGAGACUGGAAUUCCUGGUGUAGCGGUGAAAUGCGCAGAUAUCAGGAGGAACACCGGUGGCGAAGGCGGGUCUCUGGGCCGAUACUGACGCUGAGGAGCGAAAGCGUGGGGAGCGAACAGG
rnacentral:rRNA from 1 species